AUGUGACAUCUUGAGUUAAGAACUGCUUUGUUCUUCUCUCCUCUAGAAGCCAAAUGUCCUCCACAGCUUUGCCCAGUGGGACACAUGGCUCCUGACAUACGUAACCCAGGAUGGGAUGCCUUGUUGGAGUCUCUCAGAUAUGGAGCAAAAUGGGCCAUGUGCAGUCAAGACGCCAUCUACCCUGGGCAGCUUGCCUAAGCCUCGAGGGACCUGCCAAUGAUGGAUCUGAGACCUCUUCUGUCCCUGGCUGCCUAUCUGUCUGGUCCUCAUCAAGAACCCAGUGUUCCCACCCGAGAUGGAGACGUGAAUAAUCUUCCUAAGCCUAAUCCUGCCAGAAGCGUGAAGCAAGGGGGAAUUUGGAAGGCGGAACAGGAAAGAGUGGAAGUUUAGUUUACCGCUCUCCAAAAUAGAAGCUCUUUUCCCUGAGAUAGAAGCAAGAUGCUGCAAGAGAAAGGGUCAGAGAAACUGGAUUCAAUUUUAAUUUAGCCUGGAUGCUGAAAUAACCCUAUCUCUACUAAAUGCCAAAUCUUCACAUUCUCUUGGCCAACAAAGUGACUCCAGUGUUGCCACGGCAACCGUCUGUGGGUAGGCAUGAAGGACAGCACCUCACCUUAGCUGCAGCAGCCCACACACACAGCUCACUUUCUGCCUGGACUCCUCUGCCUGCAGCUGGUAUCGGGCCUGUUGGAAUUUGCUCAUCCAUUUCAUCGUGGGCCAGUGUGAAAUGGUGAGGGAAUUGAACAGCGUCACGAGAAUCCGUGGAUGAGUAC
rnacentral:lncRNA from 10 species